rnacentral:rRNA from 1 species
AUUGAACGCUGGCGGCAGGCCUAACACAUGCAAGUCGAACGAGUGGCGGACGGGUGAGUAAUGUCUGGGAAACUGCCUGAUGGAGGGGGAUAACUACUGGAAACGGUAGCUAAUACCGCAUACCAUCAGAUGUGCCCAGAUGGGAUUAGCUUGUUGGUGGGGUAACGGCUCACCAAGGCGACCAUCCCUAGCUGGUCUGAGAGGAUGACCCAGCACCACUGAAACGAGACAAGGGCCCGACUCCCACGGGAGGGCGUCAGGGGGGUUAUUGCAAAAUUGGGCGAAGCCCGAAGCAGCCAUGCCGGUGGGAUGAAGAGGGCCUUCGGGUUGUAAAGUACUUUCGGCGGGGAGACUUUCCCCGAAGAAGAAGCACCGGCUAACUCCGUGCCAGCAGCCGCGUAAUAC